UACGAGGGGUGCAAGCGUUGCUCGGAAUUAUUGGGCGUAAAGGGUAGGUAGGUGGUCUCAUUUGUCUGGGGUGAAAUCCUUGAGCUUAACUCAAGAACUGCCCCAGAAACGGUGAGACUCGAGUACUGGAGAGGGUCGUGGAAUUCCCGGUGUAGCGGUGAAAUGCGUAGAGAUCGGGAGGAACACCAGUGGCGAAGGCGGCCAUCUGGAUCAACACUGACGCUGAGGCACGAAAGCGUGGGGAGCAAACAGG
rnacentral:rRNA from 1 species